rnacentral:rRNA from 1 species
UUUAGCAGGGAAGAAGCGAAAGUGACGGUACCUGCAGAAAAAGCGCCGGCUAACUACGUGCCAGCAGCCGCGGUAAUACGUAGGGCGCAAGCGUUAUCCGGAAUUAUUGGGCGUAAGAGCUCGUAGGCGGUUUGUCGCGUCUGCUGUGAAAUCCCGAGGCUCAACCUCGGGCCUGCAGUGGGUACGGGCAGACUAGAGUGCGGUAGGGGAGAUUGGAAUUCCUGGUGUAGCGGUGGAAUGCGCAGAUAUCAGGAGGAACACCGAUGGCGAAGGCAGAUCUCUGGGCCGUAACUGACGCUGAGGAGCGAAAGGGUGGGGAGCAAACAGGCUUAGAUACCCUGGUAGUCCACCCCGUAAACGUUGGGAACUAGUUGUGGGGUCCAUUCCACGGAUUCCGUGACGCAGCUAACGCAUUAAGUUCCCCGCCUGGGGAGUACGGCCGCAAGGCUAAAACUCAAAGGAAUUGACGGGGACCCGCACAAGCGGCGGAGCAUGCGGAUUAAUUCGAUGCAACGCGAAGAACCUUACCAAGGCUUGACAUAUACGAGAACGGGCCAGAAAUGGUCAACUCUUUGGACACUCGUAAACAGGUGGUGCAUGGUUGUCGUCAGCUCGUGUCGUGAGAUGUUGGGUUAAGUCCCGCAACGAGCGCAACCCUCGUUCUAUGUUGCCAGCACGUAAUGGUGGGAACUCAUGGGAUACUGCCGGGGUCAACUCGGAGGAAGGUGGGGAUGACGUCAAAUCAUCAUGCCCCUUAUGUCUUGGGCUUCACGCAUGCUACAAUGGCCGGUACAAAGGGCUGCAAUACCGCGAGGUGGAGCGAAUCCCAAAAAGCCGGUCCCAGUUCGGAUUGAGGUCUGCAACUCGACCUC